rnacentral:rRNA from 1 species
AAUGAACCGGCGAGUUACGAUUUGAUGCAAGGUUAAGCAGUAAAUGUGGAGCCGUAGCGAAAGCGAGUCUGAAUAGGGCGUUUAGUAUUUGGUCGUAGACCCGAAACCAGGUGAUCUACCCUUGGUCAGGUUGAAGUUCAGGUAACACUGAAUGGAGGACCGAACCGACUUACGUUGAAAAGUGAGCGGAUGAACUGAGGGUAGCGGAGAAAUUCCAAUCGAACCUGGAGAUAGCUGGUUCUCUCCGAAAUAGCUUUAGGGCUAGCCUCAAGUGAUGAUUAUUGGAGGUAGAGCACUGUUUGGACGAGGGGCCCCUCUCGGGUUACCGAAUUCAGACAAACUCCGAAUGCCAAUUAAUUUAACUUGGGAGUCAGAACAUGGGUGAUAAGGUCCGUGUUCGAAAGGGAAACAGCCCAGACCACCAGCUAAGGUCCCAAAAUAUAUGUUAAGUGGAAAAGGAUGUGGCGUUGCCCAGACAACUAGGAUGUUGGCUUAGAAGCAGCCAUCAUUUAAAGAGUGCGUAAUAGCUCACUAGUCGAGUGACACUGCGCCGAAAAUGUACCGGGGCUAAACAUAUUACCGAAGCUGUGGAUUGUCCUUUGGACAAUGGUAGGAGAGCGUUCU